rnacentral:rRNA from 1 species
GACGGGGGGGGCAAGUGUUCUUCGGAAUCACUGGGCGUAAAGGGUGCGUAGGCGGGUUUUUAAGUCAGGGGGGAAAUCCUGGAGCUCAACUCCAGAACUGUCUUUGAUACUGAAGAUCUUGAGUCCGGGAGAGGUGAGUGGAACUGCGAGUGUAGAGGUGAAAUUCGUAGAUAUUCGCAAGAACACCAGUGGCGAAGGCGGCUCACUGGCCCGGUACUGACGCUGAGGCACGAAAGCGUGGGGAGCAAACAGG